rnacentral:misc_RNA from 1 species
GUUUUAGAGUGUUGAGGGAUAUUGUUAGCAAACGGUUCCCUAUGUCAAAAUCUGUUCUUGUUAAAUAUAAGGACAGUGAUGGAGAUUUAGUAACUAUAACCUGUACGGCUGAACUUAGAUCGGCAGAGUCUUGGGUUGAUGGUUUACUACCAAAAGACCCUGAUGCAGAUAAAACCGGCGCCAUUGGGUUGUUAAGAUUGCACGUCGUUGAGGUGAGUCCUGAACAAGAGCCAGCCUUGUUGGAAGAGGAAGAGGAGAAGCCUGUCGAGAGUGAAGGGAGUAAAGGGGAUGAUAGUGGAUCCCAUUCUUCAAUAAGUGACUUGGUGGUUGAAACUGUGGAUAAUGAGAGUAAUAAGGCAGAGAAGGUAACUAUCACAGAAAAAGCGGCUACAGCCGAAAAUCCUGACUGCAAAGAGGUUGAAAUGGAUGACUGGCUUUUCGAAUUUGCUCAAUUAUUCAGGACCCAUGUAGGCAUCGAUCCUGAUGCUCACAUUGAUCUGCAUGAACUUGGGAUGGAGCUUUGCUCUGAAGCCCUUGAGGAAACUGUCACAAGUGAAGAGGCUCAAGUUCUUUUCGACAAGGCUGCCUUAAAAUUUCAGGAGGUUGCAGCUCUUGCUUUCUUCAACUGGGGAAAUGUUCACAUG